AUUGCCUCAGUAACGGCGAGUGAAGCGGCAACAGCCCAGAUUUGAAAUCUGGCCCUCGGGCCCGAGUUGUAAUCUGCAGAUGAGUCUUCCGGCAGAGCGCCGUCCAAGUGCCCUGGAACGGGCCGCCGGAGAGGGUGAGAGCCCCGUACCGACGCGCGCCGAGCCUCUGUGAAGCUCAUUCGAAGAGUCGAGUAGUUUGGAAAUGCUGCUCUAAUUGUGGGGUAAAUCUCCCAUAAGGCUAAAUACCGGCCAGAGACCGAUAGCGCACAAGUAGCGUGAGCGAAAGAUGAAAAGAGCCUUGAACAAGGGCGUCAAAAAGCAUGUGAAAUUGUUGUGGGGGAAGCGUUCGAUGCCAGACAUGGCGGCGGUUGGUUACCCGGCGUUCUUCGCCGGCGCACUCUGCCGUCGCCAGGCCAGCAUCAGUUCGGCUCGAGGCCCACCGCCGGCGGGAAUGUGGCUCCCCUCGGGGAGUGUUAUAGCCCGUCGGUACCGUCUCGGACCGGACUGAGGACCGCGCUUCGGCUCGGAUGCUGGCGUAAUGGCCUCUAGCGACCCGUCUUGAAACACGGACCAAGGAGUUGACCUAGCCUGCGAGUGUUUGGGUGUAAAGCCCUUACGCGCAGUGAAAGCGAAUGCAGGUGGGAGCUUCGGCGCACCAUCGACCGAUCCUGAAGUUUACGGAUGGAUUUGAGUAAGAGCAUGCUGGGUCUGACCCGAAAGAAGGUGAACUAUGCAUGAAUAGGGUGAAGCCAGAGGAAACUCUGGUGGAGGCUCGCAGCGGUUCUGACGUGCAAAUCGAUCGUCAAAUUUGUGCAUGGGGG
rnacentral:rRNA from 1 species